AUGGCCUGGACUCCUCUCCUGCUCGUGUUCCUCUCUCACUGCACAGGGAGGGCCAGGCUGCGGGGACCAGGUUCCGUCUCCCAGCCUGUGCUGACUCAGCCUCCCUCCCUCUCUGCAUCUCUGGGAGCAUCAGCCAGACUCACCUGCACCCUGAGCAGUGGGUACAGUGUUGCCAGCUAUGUUAUAACCUGGUACCAGCAGAAGCCAGGGAGGUCUCCCUGGUACCUCCUGUCCUACAACUCAGACUCCAUUAAGGACCAGGGCUCCAGGGUCCCCAGCCACUUCUCUGGAUCCAAAGAGGCCUCAGCCAAUGCAGGGCUUCUACUCAUCUCGGCUGCAGCCCAAGGACGAGGCUGACCAUUACUGUGCAAUCUGGUACAACAGUGCUCCUCACAGAGACGCAGGGUCCCAGGCUGUGGCGACUCAGGAGCCCUCAGUGAUCGUGUCCUCAGGAGGGACAGUCACUCUCGCCUAUGGCUCCAGCACUGGAGCAGUGACCAACAGUCGCUAUCCAUGCCGGUUCCAGCAGAAACGUGGCCAAGCCCCCAGGACACUGACUUAG